UUUUUUAAAUACAGAGUCGCCCCCCCCCCCCCCACCUUAGCUUCCUGUCUAUUGAGGUCAUAGAUGAGUAUCUACCUGGCCUUUGGGAACAUUUUUUUCACUAGGACUGCAAGUGACUGCCUUUUUAAUCUCAGCUCCAUGAUCACCUUUAGCCAAGUCAACUUCUGAGUGCCUUUUGAAUUUGGCAAUCAUUUCAGCCACAGGAGUGCAUGUUAUGUCACAGAAAAUGGAACCUGAUUGGUCUGGCAUGAUGGGGUUGGUCCUCAUUUCUGUAAUUUCCCUCAGUGCUCUGUAUCCUGAGCUGACUCCUCCUUAGGCUUUCUUCCCAGUGGAUUGGAGAUGAUUACAACAUUCAUUCCUCAGUGUUCUGAGCCAGGAAAGCUGGCUACCCGUGUAGAGGGCCGAAUCUUGUCCUGCAAACAUGGUACUGGAUGAAUGCCUGUCUUCUUGACAAAAAAAGGGAAACCUCAGGACCGCUCUAGACCAACAGAGUCUACACUGGGACCUGUCUGAGUUGUGCAUACCCGAGUAAGGUGAGAGAGACUGAACAAAAUGUGGUUUUUGUUAAAAAGGAGACAAAGCAGAGGAACUCGGUGCUCUGGGUGAAACCCAAUCUAGCCUAUGCUGGAACUAGCAAAGGGCAGUUUGUAGUUCAUAUCUUUUCAGUGUGUGGUCUUAAUUUCAAGCAGAUGUUAGUUUAUAUUUUUAUAGUAACAGUAUGAAUGUAAAAUUGAUGCCAUUUCAUAGAUGCCACGCACUGACCAAUCAUUUCUUUCAGUAUAUUUGCACUUAGUGGAUAUCGGGCAUUGCAUUUCUAGACCAUCUCCUGCUAAGAGAAACAAAGCUACAAAGACUCUCCCUCCUCCCUCCUGGUUAGCAUACUCUCUAACAGUGAGCUGUGUCCAUCAAUCUUUGCAGCCAUGUUGUUUGCCUGUUUUUAUUACUCUUCCCUCGUCUUCAUGUUUUUUAUUUUCCCUUUCCCCUUUGCUCUCUGUCUUUCUUCCUCUUUGCUGUUUUGUAUUUGUGAGAAGCAUCACUCUCUGCUUUCUCAGUAGAAUUAGGUAGCUUCUGACUCAUCUCGGCUUGCUUUUCUCACAUACGCUGUUUUAAUGGAAGACGGUGGUAUUAGCUGGACCUCCCUUUGGCUGUGGGCAGUGGGAGCGAUGAAAGUGAGCAGUUGUGGGUGUUAGUCAGGUUCCUUACUCAUCUCUUAUGCUGUCAUAGCAUGGCAGAUGAAUACUAAUUCUGUUAGCUCUAGGGACAGCUAAAUUAGAACUGUCCACACAUUGUCAAUAUAUUUUUAUAUUCAUGGCUAUUUGUAGAACAGUUUUGUUUCCUGAAACAAAAAUCUCUUAGCUUGUUACCUCUAGCUUUGAAGUUUAAAAAUGCAUAUGUUCCCCCUUUGUUAAUCUUGGCUCUUUGAAUACUUCUUUAUGUUUUGGUAGGAGAAAUGGGUUGCUUCUGAUCUUAGCACAGAAAGAAAGCCACGCCCCCCAGAGCCCUACUUACCCAGAACCUUAUGGUUUGGAGGAAGCACCUGGAGCUGCCAUUAGCGCAGACACUUGACAUUUUUUCCAAAGUUGUGUGGCUGUCUGUUUUGUGUAGUACUAAUGAUUUAAUAGCCUUUGUUUUAAACAGCAGAUGUAUAGUAGAUGGUUUAAGCUAGAAUAGCAAUAACACCUCGGUGUAAAUGUGUUUAACCACGAGGACAUAAAGAGUGGUUUUUUAAAAUAUACUUUUCUACUGAACAUUAUUGGUCUCUGUUGAUAGUUUUCUGCUUGAUUGCGUGUUCAAUGCCGCAUGCUUUUUCUCCUGGAGCUGUCACAAUAACAAACACUUUCAUCGGCCCCAGUUGGAGAAUGCCAACAUGGUGAUUGUGUCAAACCACAUGCUUAUCUAAUGGGCUGGUUGUUCACGUCCUUGGUCUUUUGGUUGUUGAUAAGUAGAAAAAUCUUUACUUCGUAUAUUAUAUAACUAUACUACUAAUGAUGGAGUUGGGAAGUUCUAAUUAAAGAUUAAUGAGCACUAUAUCGUUUGAGAAAAAAAAUAGUCUGGUUUUGUCUUUGCUCCUUAAACUUUGUUGCCUUGGGCACAUUUUGCUUGCUCAAUGUUUUAACCCUUGCUGAUAAAAUCAGGAUAUAGGACCAGAUUUUGUUUUUUUUUUUUUUUUUUUUUUUUUUGAGACAGAGUUUCUCUGGGUAGCCCUGGUUGUCCUGGUUGUCACUCUGUAGCUAGCCUCAAAUUCAGAUAUCAACAAAGUUGUGAGCAACCACCUCCCAGUUUAGACUAGAUACUUAGAAUUCACAAUGCCCAGACAAUAGUAUUUACUGAAUAGUGUUCCCCACUUUCUGAAGACAAGUCUAGAUGCUCCUGCUAUACAUUAAAGAAAGAGCCCUGCCUUCAAGGAUUUUAGUGGGAACUACAACCCUGACUUAUAUUUUUGGAAGCACCCAGCGUGGCACUGGGUUUCCACUCUCCUGGGUGGGGCAGUUAGAGUCCCAUGUACAUCUGAAAUGCUGAGUGUUACAAGCAUGGUAAUUAUGGUGAGCUCGUGUGCUAUAAUCAUGUUCUCUUGAUGGGAGUGAUUUGUUUAAGAAAUCAUUUUACAAACAAAGUGGUGUUGGGUUUGAGCUCUUGGAGCUGUUUUAAGAACAUGGCUAUUUACAUAGAGUUUCACCUACCUUCACUGUUGACUCCUGGCGGGCUCAGUAAGCUUUGUCCAUUGUGUUCUGUCUCAUCCAUCAGUUUGAAUGAGUAAUGUGGGUCAGCUCUGGGGUGUGUACAGAGGUCACCGAUGCAGUGUGUGAGGCUCUGCCUGCUCUCCCUGUGCUCUGGAUUUCCAUAGUAUCUGUUUGUAGUGUCUUCAACUUGGACUCUUUAGCUUUUGAUCACACGGCCAAGCAAUGACUUUCAAAUAAUAUGUUCUAUAAUAUGUUUUUGUGGGGUAGAACUACUUCUGAGAACACAUUUUAUACCAUGUUCUAUAAUCAUUUCCACAAACUGACAUGGAUCUUUUCUCAGGAGUAAAGCAGGAGCUUUGUGAUCCACUCAUGGAUGUUUGAAAGAACAGAAAUUGCACACUGUUGGACACAGUGAGCUGUUAAUGGUUGUUUUAGUUAGGGUUUCAUUGCUGUGAAGAGACACCAUGACCAUGGCAAUUCUUAUAAAGGAAAACAUUUGAGGCUGGCUUACAGUUUCUGAGGCUUAUUUUAUUUUUGUCACGGCAAGAAGCAUGGAGACACACAGGCAAGACAUGGUGCUGGAGAAGGAACUAAGAGUUCUUCAUAUAGAUCCGCAGGGAGCAAGGAGAGACUUUGUGUUACUCUGGACCUAGCUUCAGGAAGAGACCCCAAAGCCUGCCCCCACAGCGACAAACUACCACCAACAAAGUCACACCUCCUAGUAGUGCCACCCUCUAUGGCCAAGCACCCCCAGCGUUCACACUCUGUGGUGGCUGUUCCCAUUCAGGCCAGCACAGUGGCUUCUCCUGUGAUUACAGUGUGCACAGCUAUUGGUUCCUUAAUACUACAGUGGUGGUAACUUCAGUACACCUGUCACAGGAAAUUGAAAGUCAAGUUCUGUGUCUUGGCUAGACCAGUCUUCCUGGAUAUCCUGUUUCCAUGGAUAACUUCCCCAGCUUCCCAUAACUUCCCUAGAUUCUUUUUCUCUCUUUCCAUGGUCUGGAUAGCUUUUGUCUUUCAUUGUGAGAUCCAUUUCUUACCCUCUUCUCGAUUGCUUUGGCCUUAAUAACAAACCAUGCCUGGAUUUUUGCAACCAUCUGCCCGCUGUUCUUCUGCUUCAGUCCCAUUUUAGACCCUGCAGUCAGGCUGGGCUGUUGAAACAAGAGUCUUACCACAUUGGUACUUAAAGCCCCAGAGCUCUCUAAGCACCUAAUUUCAGCAUGUACCCAUGUGAGAGCAUAUAUUACAGCUUUCUUCUUAGGAUUAAACAACUUUCUAGUAUAUUGAUGUAGUAUGUUUUAAAAGGGUCACGUGUGUGGUUUGUGACUCUGCUUUAAAUAAUUGUACUUUAGGUUUUUUUUUGUUUUUUUUUAAACCGUUGAUAUUUGUACCCUUUUAAGAAGCUAGCUGUGACAUUACCCAGUGGCUAGGGUACCAGCACUCAGAGCAUUAUGGGAGAACUACCGUGAGGGAGGGAGUCAGGGAGCUUGAGCUGGCUCUACCUGCCUGCUGUCUGCUAUGCUGGAGGAGUCCCUCUCUGCUUGUGUACAAUUUAGGCUGCCAGUUAUUUUUAGAUUGAAUCAAUUUUGUGUCAUUAGUUGUGAUAGAAUAAGUGAUUAGGUAUAUUGUUCCCAUUCUAUGUGACCUUUACUCUUCUUACACACACACACACACACACACACACACUGAGAGAGAGAGAGAGAGAAAGAG
rnacentral:lncRNA from 1 species